AUGGCCUCGACUCCUCUCCUCUUCUUGCUCCUCUCUCACUGCACAGGUCCCCUCUCCCAGCCUGUGCUGACUCAACUGCCCUCCCUCUCUGCAUCUCCUGGAGCCAUAGCCAGACUCACCUGCACCCUGAGCAGUGACUACAGUGUUGGCAGCUACUACAUAAGUUGGUUCCAGCAGAAGCCAGGGAGCCCUCCCUGGUAUCUCCUGUGGUAUAAAUCAGACUCAGACAAGCACCAGGGCUCCGGGGUCCCCAGCCUCUUCACUGGAUCCAAAGAUGCCUCGGCCAAUGCACGGCUCCUGCUCAUCUCUGGGCUGCAGCCUGAGGACGAGCCUGACUAUUACUGUGCUGUAUAUCAUGACAGUGGAAGCAGCAAUGGUUACUUACAUGAAGACCUGCAGUGA